rnacentral:rRNA from 1 species
AUUGAACGCUGGCGGCAGGCCUAACACAUGCAAGUCGAACGAGCGGCGGACGGGUGAGUAAUGUAUGGGGAUCUGCCCUAUAGAGGGGGAUAACUACUGGAAACGGUAGCUAAUACCGCGUACUAUAGGAUGAGCCCAUAUGGGAUUAGGUAGUAGGUGGGGUAAAGGCUCACCUAGGCGACGAUCUCUAGCUGGUCUGAGAGGAUGAUCAGCCACACGGGGACUGAGACACGGCCCAGACUCCUACGGGAGGCAGCAGUGGGGAAUAUUGCACAAUGGGCGCAAGCCUGACGCAGCCAUGCCGCGUGAAUGAAGAAGGCCUUAGGGUUGUAAAGUACUUUCAGUGGGGAGGCGUUACCCGCAGAAGAAGCACCGGCUAACUCCGUGCCAGCAGCCGCGGUAAUAC